UAUAAAGUUUUAUUUUAGCUUAAAAAAUUUAUUAUUAAUUUAUAUUAUAUGUAAAUUUUUGUGUGAAUUUAUAUUUAUUUAAAAAAUAAAUAUAUUAAUAUUAAAUAAAAUAUUUGCAAUAAUUAAUAUUAUAAAUUAAAGAAAUUUAGAAAUAGAAAUAUUAGAUAAUAUUGACUUAAUUUGUGCCAGCAGUUGCGGUUAUACAAAUAAUAUAAAUAAAUUUUAUUAAUAGUAGUUAAAUGAAAAUUUAAUAAAAAUAUAAUUAUAUUUAUUAAGUGAAAUUUUAAAUAUAAAUUAUUUUUAUAAAAAAUAAUAUUGAAGCUAAAAAUUUUUAAUUAAAAACUAGGAUUAGAUACCCUAUUAUUUAAAAUGUAAUUGAAUUUAUUUGAGUAGUAUUAGUUAUAUUCUUGAAACUUAAAAAAUUUGGCGGUAUUUUAGUCUAUUCAGAGGAACUUGUUUUUUAAUCGAUAAUCCACGAUGUACCUUACUUAAAAUUGUUAAUCAAUUUAUAUAUCGUUGUUAUUAGAAUAUUUUAUAAGAAUAAUAAUUUUCUAUAAUUUAAAUAAAAAUUAAUAUCAAAUCAAGGUGUAGUUUAUUUUUAAGUAUAAAUGAGUUACAAUAAAAUAUAUUUAUGGAUUUAAAUAUGAAAAAUUUAAUGAAAUUGGAUUUGAUAGUAAAAUUAUAAAGAUAAAUAAUUUGAUUUUAGCUCUAAAAUAUGUACAUAUCGCCCGUCACUCUUAUUAUUAAAAUAAGAUAAGUCGUAACAUAGUAGAUGUACUGGAAAGUGUAUCUAGAAU
rnacentral:ncRNA from 1 species